UUUUUUUCAAUUAUAAUUGACAAUUUAGUUGGACUAAUACUAAAUCAUAAGAAAUUAUUAUUGCAAUGUGAUUAUGUAAACGACGGAGGUGACACCCAAACGACGCUAACCUGACAAACCCAAAGAUUAUUAACAUCUGCUAGGCACGCCCGCUCCCCACUACAAGCCGAAGGCCACAACCGAUUACCUUAUAGCGGUAUAGCCUAUAGAGAGUGAGCUGUGAAAUUCUCUGCCUUUGGAACCCAAAAGAGAGCAAGCAAGCAAGUUUGCAAGCCAAUCAUGGAAGUGGAGGGAUCAUCGAAGCCAAUGAUAGCGACGCAGGCAGAGAUGGUGGAGGCGAGGGUCCCCAUCUCCUACAGAGACCAAUGCGCCCAUCUGCUGAUCCCGCUCAACAAGUGCCGCCAGGCCGAGUU
rnacentral:misc_RNA from 1 species